rnacentral:rRNA from 1 species
UGGGGAAUAUUGGACAAUGGGCGAAAGCCUGAUCCAGCCAUGCCGCGUGUGUGAAGAAGGUCUUCGGAUUGUAAAGCACUUUAAGUUGGGAGGAAGGGCAGUAAGCGAAUACCUUGCUGUUUUGACGUUACCGACAGAAUAAGCACCGGCUAACUCUGUGCCAGCAGCCGCGGUAAUACAGAGGGUGCAAGCGUUAAUCGGAAUUACUGGGCGUAAAGCGCGCGUAGGUGGUUCGUUAAGUUGAAUGUGAAAGCCCCAGGCUCAACCUGGGAACUGCAUCCAAAACUGGCGAGCUAGAGUAGGGCAGAGGGUGGUGGAAUUUCCUGUGUAGCGGUGAAAUGCGUAGAUCUAGGAAGGAACACCAGUGGCGAAGGCGACCACCUGGGCUCAUACUGACACUGAGGUGCGAAAGCGUGGGGAGCAAACAGG